UUACACAGGUAGUCGAGGAGAAUAUCCUAAGGCGCUCGAGUGAUCCGUGGUAAAGGAACUAGGCAAAUUGACGCUAUAACUUCGGGAUAAGGCGUGCCGCAGUGAUGCGGCCUCAGUAAAAUGGUCCAACCAACUGUUUAACAAAAACACAGGGCCCUGCAAAAUCGAAAGAUGACGUAUAGAGCCUGAUACCUGCCCGGUGCUGGAAGGUUAAGGAAGGAUGUUCGGCGCAAGCCAAAGCUUCUGACUGAAGCCCCAGUAAACGGCGGCCGUAACAAUAACGGUCCUAAGGUAGCGAAAUUCCUUGUCGGGUAAGUUCCGACCUGCACGAAUGGUCUAAUGAGUUGGACACUGUCUCUACCACGAGCUCGGUGAAAUUGUAGUAUCGGUGAAGAUGCCGGUUAAUCGCAACGGGACGGAAAGACCCCGUGAACCUUCACUACAACUUAACAUUGAUUUUGAAUGCCAGAUGUGUAGGAUAGUUGGGAGACUUUGAAGCAGCUUCGCUAGGAGUUGUGGAGUCGUCGUUGAAAUACCAACCUUCUGUUAUUUAGAGUCUAACUCCUGUAAGGGAGGACAUUGUUUGGUGGGUAGUUUGACUGGGGUGGUCGCCUCCUAAAAAGUAACGGAGGCUUGCAAAGGUACCCUCAGUACGGUUGGUAAUCGUACGCAGAGCGCAUUAGUAUAAGGGUGCUUGACUGUGAGGCAAACAAGCCGAGCAGGAGCGGAAGCUGGCUAAAGUGAUCCGGUGGUUCUGAAUGGAAGGGCCAUCGCUCAAAGGAUAAAAGGUACUCCGGGGAUAACAGGCUGAUCUCACCCAAGAGCUCAUAUCGACGGUGAGGUUUGGCACCUCGAUGUCGGUUCGUCACAUCCUGGGGCUGGAGAAGGUCCCAAGGGUUCGGCUGUUCGCCGAUUAAAGUGGCACGUGAACUGGGUUCAGAACGUCGCAAGACAGUUCGGUCCCUAUCUGUUGUGAUCGUUAGUAAAUUGAGAGGACAUGACCUUAGUACGAGAGGACCGGGUCGUACGUACCGCUGGUGUAUCUGUUGUGCCGCCAGGUGCAGUGCGGAGUAGCUAUGUACGGGCAAGAUAAACGCUGAAAGCAUCUAAGCGUGAAACUUACCUCGAGAUGAGUUUACUUUUAAGGGCCGUCGGAGACUACGACGUUGAUAGGCUACAGGUGUAAGGAUAGUAAUAUCGAAGCCGAGUAGUACUAAUUGCCCGUAAGC
rnacentral:rRNA from 1 species